GCAUAUCAAUAAGCGGAGGAAAAGAAACCAACAGGGAUUGCCCUAGUAACGGCGAGUGAAGCGGCAACAGCUCAAAUUUGAAAUCUGGCUCUUUUAGGGUCCGAGUUGUAAUUUGCAGAGGGCGCUUUGGCGUUGGCAGCGGUCCAAGUUCUUUGGAACAGGACGUCACAGAGGGUGAGAAUCCCGUACGUGGUCGCUAGCCUUCGCCGUGUAAAGCCCCUUCGACGAGUCGAGUUGUUUGGGAAUGCAGCUCUAAAUGGGAGGUAAAUUUCUUCUAAAGCUAAAUACUGGCCAGAGACCGAUAGCGCACAAGUAGAGUGAUCGAAAGAUGAAAAGCACUUUGGAAAGAGAGUCAAAUAGCACGUGAAAUUGUUGAAAGGGAAGCGCUUGCAGCCAGACUUGCCUGUAGUUGCUUAUCCGGACUUUUGUCCGGUGCACUCUUCUGCGGGCAGGCCAGCAUCAGUUUAGGCGGUUGGAUAAAGGUCUCUGUCAUGUACCUCUCUUCGGGGAGGCCUUAUAGGGGAGACGACAUGCAACCAGCCUGGACUGAGGUCCGCGCAUCUGCUAGGAUGCUGGCGUAAUGGCUGUAAGCGGCCCGUCUUGAAACACGGACCAAGGAGUCUAACAUCUAUGCGAGUGUUUGGGUGUCAAGCCCAGACGCGUAAUGAAAGUGAACGGAGGUGGGAACCCUUUGGGUGCACCAUCGACCGAUCCUGAUGUCUUCGGAUGGAUUUGAGUAAGAGCAUGGCUGUUGGGACCCGAAAGAUGGUGAACUAUGCUUGAAUAGGGUGAAGCCAGAGGAAACUCUGGUGGAGGCUCGCAGCGGUUCUGACGUGCAAAUCGAUCGUCAAAUUUGGGCAUAGGGGCGAAAGACUAAUCGAACUAUCUAGUAGCUGGUUCCUGCCGA
rnacentral:rRNA from 1 species